rnacentral:rRNA from 1 species
UGGGGAAUCUUGCACAAUGGGGGCAACCCUGAUGCAGCGACGCCGCGUGAGCGAUGAAGCCCUUCGGGGCGUAAAGCUCUUUCGACCGGAACGAUAAUGACGGUACCGGGAGAAGAAGCUGCGGCUAACUACGUGCCAGCAGCCGCGGUAAUACGUAGGCAGCAAGCGUUGUUCGGAGUUACUGGGCGUAAAGAGUGCGUAGGCGGUUUUCUAAGUUCGGGGUGAAAUCUCCCGGCUUAACUGGGAGGGUGCGCCGAAGACUGGGAAGCUGGAGUGUGGGAAAGGCAGGCGGAAUUCCUGGUGUAGCGGUGAAAUGCGUAGAUAUCAGGAGGAACACCGGCGGUGUAGACGGCUUGCUAGACCAUAACUGACGCUGAGGCACGAAAGCGUGGGUAGCAAACA